rnacentral:rRNA from 1 species
CCUACGGGUGGCAGCAGUGAGGAAUAUUGGGCAAUGGGCGGAAGCCUGAACCAGCCAAGUAGCGUGCAGGAUGACGGCCCUACGGGUUGUAAACUGCUUUUAUACGGGAAUAACGCGCCUUACGUGUAGGGCUUUGCAUGUACCGUAUGAAUAAGGACCGGCUAAUUCCGUGCCAGCAGCCGCGGUAAUAAGGAAGGUCCGGGCGUUAUCCGGAUUUAAUGGGGUUAAAGGGAGCGUAGGCCGCAUGUCAAGCGUGCUGUGAAAUGUCCGGGCUCAACCCGGGCCUUGCAGCGCGAACUGGCGUGCUUGAGUCCGCGGAAAGCAGGCGGAAUUCGUCGUGUAGCGGUGAAAUGCUUAGAUAUGACGAAGAACCCCGAUUGCGAAGGCAGCUUGCUGCAGCGGAACUGACGCUGAUGCUCGAAAGCGCGGGUAUCGAACAGGAUUAGAUACCCCGGUAGUC